rnacentral:sRNA from 1 species
GCGGCUCUCGGAAACCUGCACUUUUGCCAAGGUUUGUCGCCUCCGGGUCCACCCCGGGGCCUGCGGAAGAUGGGCACGGUGCACCCACCCGAAGGCGGGGAGGUCAAGGCCCGGAGCCCUGCAGAGCUGCUCAGCUUCCCCACAGGGCUGACGGGGAGGCCCAGCCUCAGCCCACCCGCCCCCUUCCCCAGCCCACCCGCCCCCUUCCCCAGCCCACCUGCCCCCUUCCCCAGCUCACCCACCUCCUCUCCGGCCCACCCAUCACCUCCCCAGCUCACCCACCUCUUUGACAACGAUGGCACGGUGAUGUUCGCCAUCUUCAUGGCCCUCUGGGCCACGGUGUUCCUGGAGAUCUGGAAGCGGCAGCGCGCCCGCGUGGUCCUGCACUGGGACCUGUACGUGUGGGACGAGGAACAGGUGAGGUGGAGCCGGCGGCGCAGCUGA